rnacentral:rRNA from 1 species
GAUCAUGGCUCAGGAUGAACGCUAGCUACAGGCUUAACACAUGCAAGUCGAGGGGAACGAUAUUGGAAGCUUGCUUCCGAUAGGCGUCGACCGGCGCACGGGUGAGUAACGCGUAUCCAACCUGCCCGUCACUUGGGAAUAACCUUGCGAAAGUAAGACUAAUGCCCAAUGACAUUUAUAGAAGGCAUCUGAAAAUGAAUUAAAGAUUUAUCGGUGAUGGAUGGGGAUGCGUCUGAUUAGCUUGUUGGCGGGGUAACGGCCCACCAAGGCGACGAUCAGUAGGGGUUCUGAGAGGAAGGUCCCCCACAUUGGAACUGAGACACGGUCCAAACUCCUACGGGAGGCAGCAGUGAGGAAUAUUGGUCAAUGGGCGAGAGCCUGAACCAGCCAAGUAGCGUGCAGGAAGACGGCCCUAUGGGUUGUAAACUGCUUUUAUAGGGGAAUAAAGUGAGCCACGUGUGGUUUUUUGCAUGUACCCUAUGAAUAAGGACCGGCUAAUUCCGUG